CACUUUUCCUCAUGAAUAUUUAAAUAGAAAAUGCCGAAAUAAUAUUUAAUUAUUCAUACAACCUCUUCAACCUGUUCUUGUUUCCAAUGCAUACAACGAUGCGUGGAUCGACUCAAUCUUGUUUCUUUUGCAAUUAUUGGAAAAACAUAAUUCAUUUGUUGAUAUUUUUGUAUGCACCCUAUAAAUCAUUAUGUUUCAUGCUUAUGGUUGAUAUUGGUCCAUACUCAAACGAUUUUGUUCACCAUCGAGUGUGAGUUUCAACAGGUAAAUAUGUACAUUUCUUUGUGUUGUAUAUUUCUCAGCGAGCAUGAUAUGAGGCCUUUUUAAAGGGGAUUUUCCCCAAUAUUUAAAUCAAAUAAAUAACCUUAACGCAUUAAACAACCAUUUAAAAUGUUGUUUUAGAUUGCAGUAUAAAGACA
rnacentral:lncRNA from 1 species